rnacentral:rRNA from 1 species
AGUCGAACGGAAAGGCCCAGCUUGCUGGGUACUCGAGUGGCGAACGGGUGAGUAACACGUGGGUGAUCUGCCCUGCACUCUGGGAUAAGCCUGGGAAACUGGGUCUAAUACCGGAUAUGACCAACUGUCGCAUGGUGGUUGGUGGAAAGCUUUUGCGGUGUGGGAUGGGCCCGCGGCCUAUCAGCUUGUUGGUGGGGUAAUGGCCUACCAAGGCGACGACGGGUAGCCGACCUGAGAGGGUGAUCGGCCACACUGGGACUGAGACACGGCCCAGACUCCUACGGGAGGCAGCAGUGGGGAAUAUUGCACAAUGGGCGCAAGCCUGAUGCAGCGACGCCGCGUGAGGGAUGACGGCCUUCGGGUUGUAAACCUCUUUCACCAGGGACGAAGCGUGAGUGACGGUACCUGGAGAAGAAGCACCGGCCAACUACGUGCCAGCAGCCGCGGUAAUACGUAGGGUGCGAGCGUUGUCCGGAAUUACUGGGCGUAAAGAGCUCGUAGGCGGUUUGUCGCGUCGUCUGUGAAAUUCUGCAACUCAAUUGCAGGCGUGCAGGCGAUACGGGCAGACUUGAGUACUACAGGGGAGACUGGAAUUCCUGGUGUAGCGGUGAAAUGCGCAGAUAUCAGGAGGAACACCGGUGGCGAAGGCGGGUCUCUGGGUAGUAACUGACGCUGAGGAGCGAAAGCGUGGGUAGCGAACAGGAUUAGAUACCCUGGUAGUCCACGCCGUAAACGGUGGGUACUAGGUGUGGGUUCCUUU